CGGUGCAACCUGACGCCCGGCGCCCAGCGCCUGGCGGUGGCCGCGGUGCUGGCGCUCCUGGUCUUCAUCAACGUCGUGCUCAUCUUCCUGCUCACCUUCCGCUGACCGCUCGCCAAGAGGCCACGGGCCUUGGGGCAAAUGGCCCCAGUCAAGCCCUCCACUCCAGGCAGAGCCCACAUUAUGCUACGAGACUUGCUUUCCCAGGAGACCUGCCUGCAGGUGACAGGGCUGGAGACAGAGCUGGGUGGUCAUUGGUUGGCCAUUUGGAGACAAACACGACCAACUGCGGGACCGUUGUUGCCUGGACCGUCACGGCUCGCCGGGCGGUGACAGGCUGGACUGCCUUAGUCUCAGAUUUACUCCUCCUGGGAAAAUCCCCUCCACCACAACAUACCUGUGCCUCACAGGCCAAAGCCCAUUGCAGUAGCUUGUGUGAUCCUCAAGCCCUCUGGUCCAGGGGCGACUGAACCAAGAAGCUGUGUAGGGACAGGCCUCUGCCCAGCACCGGCAGUGAUGAACAGCCUCUGGGCUUCAGGACUCAUAUUUGACCGUAUGGACUCACAUUUGGUUUGGGUCGUGGGUCAUGACUGUCUGGCCAUAGAGGCGCAGUGCUCUUGCUAGCAAACCUGACCUCCUCCAUGCGAGUAAAGCAUUGUCCUGUCUA